GACGAACGCUGGCGGCGUGCUUAACACAUGCAAGUCAAACGGAAAGGCCCUGCUUUUGUGGGGUGCUCGAGUGGCGAACGGGUGAGUAACACGUGAGUAACCUGCCCUUGACUUUGGGAUAACUUCAGGAAACUGGGGCUAAUACCGGAUAGGAGCUCCUGCUGCAUGGUGGGGGUUGGAAAGUUUCGGCGGUUGGGGAUGGACUCGCGGCUUAUCAGCUUGUUGGUGGGGUAGUGGCUUACCAAGGCUUUGACGGGUAGCCGGCCUGAGAGGGUGACCGGCCAAAUUGGGACUGAGAUACGGCCCAGACUCCUACGGGAGGCAGCAGUGGGGAAUAUUGCACAAUGGGCGGAAGCCUGAUGCAGCAACGCCGCGUGCGGGAUGACGGCCUUCGGGUUGUAAACCGCUUUCGCCUGUGACGAAGCGUGAGUGACGGUAAUGGGUAAAGAAGCACCGGCUAACUACGUG
rnacentral:rRNA from 1 species